rnacentral:lncRNA from 1 species
CUUAUGUUUUGUCAUUCACAUCUUCUCUCUAAAGUCUAAACUCAACUAUCAUAAUUAAGAACCCCCUCUCCUUCAUUCAAUGAAGAAUCCUCUCACCUCGCUUUUCGUGCUCCAUUUCCACUUUUCAUAAAACCCCAUUUCCUAAUUCUCUCUCUCCAAGCCCAAGCACAACAAAGUUCGAAACUUUUCACCAUUUGAGAUCUGGGUUUGGAUUCAUUUUCCGUGUUGCAGCACCAUUUUGGGUUAGUUAUUUAGUUAGUGUGAGAGAUCCAAAAAAUGGGAAGCAAGUGGAAGAAAGCAAAGGUGGCUCUAGGUAUGAAUCUGUGCAUGUUGGUUCCCAGUACCUUAGACGAUGAUUCGCCACUUCCGACGGUGGUUUCUGACAGAUUCUCUGAUGCUGCACUGCUAUCGCCGGCGGCGAACUGGCCCAUCGAUUCUUCACGGCCAACCACGCCGGUGCCGUCUUUUUACGGUUUGAAGCUGUCAAAGAGUAGUAGCAAGUCCUCCAAGGUUUGUGUCUCUCUCAUAUUCAUUAUCCACUUAUUAUUGUUAUGCUAGUUUUCUCUCUUAUUUUAGUAAGCUUUGUUAUGUUUGCUAACUCGGAAGAAUCUAAUUGACCUGCAAGUAUCUGCAAUCUGGUGUUCAAAAAUGGGAAAUUUUAAUGUGCUACGUAAAGAACUUUUUUUAGGGGGAAAGACUUCAUGAAGACAUACGUGGAGAUAACGAAUUAAAUCUUGCCAACACAUUAAAAGUUUAAUUUUGAUUAAAAUUUAAUCAUAAAUGAUAGCACCAAGCAUAAAUACACUUUGUCUCUAAAGUUUUCCUCCUUUUUUGGCUAAUUAAAAAUAAACUAUGUAAAAACAAAAGGAAAAAAAGUGGUUAAGUACACAAGGUCACAAGUGUUCAAGCGAAUAAGCUAUUUUGAGAUAAUGUUCACCCUCUAUUUUAUUUAUCAUUUUAGGGGUUUUGCUAGGGGCUGAUGAUAAGAGGUUAAAAAAAUAGUAAAUUUUCAUUGGAAAACUGAGAUAGUUGAUUCUUGUAGUACUAAACGCAACAUUUUUCCUAUAUAACAUUAACUAUUUUGGCUUCUUAAACUCAGCUUUUUCCUGAGGGUUAAGGAUAACAAAAUUCUUAUUUUAGUACUUUUGGCGUUUGACUACUAAAAUUUUGAGUAAAUUGACAUUAAUAAUUUGUUCCUUGAAAAUAUGUGACCGAAGUCAGUGCCCUAUGGAAAAAGAGUUGGUCUAUAUUGGAAAUCUAAAUCUAAUAAUACUUCUAAAUAUAUGUUAGAUACAUCAUUUUUAAUACAAAAUAACCCAUUUAGUUUCUUAAUAAGUGUACCCAUUAGUAUUCUCCUUAAAAUUAAUUUAUGAUUUAGACGUUAAAUCAUUUGAAUUCGCUUAAUUAAUGUUAAGAAAAAGAGUUUGAAUAAUUUAAGGGCGGAAUUAUAUGCAUUAAUUGUGCGGUUUUGAUGUGCCUUAAGCUGAUGGGUAAGAUCAUUCUUUUCCUUUAUAUUGGCUAAACGUGUUUAUGAGGAAAUAAUACUUAUCAUGAUAUAGUACAAUAUUUGGCUGGUUUGAUUUAGACAAGUCAUAUAAGCAACUUUUAAGUAGAAGUGAUUUGGUAAAUAUUCAAUUUAUGAUUGGAAUUUCUUUUUGCCACCCCUCUUAAUCUCACUAUUUAAAUACUAGUAACUUUUUUUAUCGAUUGUGUCUGUAAACAUUGAAUAAUUUAUUAAUUAUGUAGUGUUCAACAGAAAAUGUUUCUAAUGUUUAAUCUUUAAACGGUAUAUUGUGAAGCUUCAGCAUACACUAUUACUCCGACAUUUUAAAAUAAUAGAUUAGCUAUGUAACUUGAUUUAUAAAUGUUGUUUGGCAUUAAAGAUAAUUGCUGGAAUUCAUAAUCCUGCAUUUUUUACAUAUCUAGUUUGCUCAUGAAUUUUGUUUAUCUGCAUGAAUGUCUGUUAUAUAGCUUGCGUUGAAGUAUUUGUGUUCUUACGAACUUUUAUUUUUCAACCAUUCAGCAAAUCUGCUCAAUAUGCUUAACCAGAAUGAAAGAAGGAUCUGGCCGUGCUAUAUUUACUGCAGAAUGUACACAUUCUUUCCAUUUUCACUGCAUUGCUUCAAAUGUGAAACAUGGAAACCAAAUAUGCCCGGUGUGCAGAGCAAAGUGGAAGGACAUACCCUUUUCGGAUCCCAGUUUGGAUCCUAUUGCAUACAAGGUUUCAUCAAGUCCAACAAAUUGGUCUCAAAAUGAUGUCUUGAUGGCUGUGGUUCACCGCUUACCUCUACCUCAUCCUCAGCGAGAUUUGAAUAGGCGUAAUAUUGUGCCACUUUAUCAGGCUCCAGAGCCAGUCAUAUACGAUGAUGACGAAUUGUUAAAUUACCAACUUGCAUUUUCCGACAGAAGUCCUUGCAGUAAGAAUAAUGAGGAUAUUGUUGCUGUUAAAGCUAUGGAGAUUAAAAUGUACCCCGAAGUGCUGGCUGCUCCAAGAUUCAAUACUUAUUCUAACUUCACUGUUUUGGUUCAUCUCAAAGCUAAUGCUACUGCAGCGGCAUCUGCCGCCAAAAGAGAAACCUUUAGUAGAAACCCGUCUAGCUUCACACAGAUUUCUCAGACUCCGCGCGCUCCUGUUGACCUAGUCACUGUCCUUGACAUCAGUGGUAGCAUGGCCGGAACUAAGCUUGCACUACUUAAACGAGCUAUGGGAUUUGUUAUACAGAACCUAGGCUCUAAUGACCGGCUCUCAGUUAUUGCUUUCUCUUCGACAGCUCGUCGCCUUUUCCCCCUUUGUAGGAUGACUGAUUCUGGGCGGCAACAGGCAUUGCAAGCUGUUAAUUCUUUGGUUGCAAGUGGAGGUACCAAUAUUGCUGAAGGGCUGAGAAAAGGUGCUAAGAUAGUGGAAGAUCGAAAAGAAAAGAACCCAGUUGCCAGUAUUAUACUCUUGUCUGAUGGCCAAGAUAAUUACACCGUCAAUGGCUCUGGAUCUGACCAACCUCAACCAAAUUACGAGCUGCUUCUGCCCACUUCUAUCAGUGGUCGUGAUAAAUCAGGUUUCCAAGUUCCUGUGCAUGCGUUUGGAUUCGGUACAGAUCAUGAUGCUUUAUCAAUGCACUCAAUUUCAGAAACUUCCGGUGGCACAUUUUCUUUCAUUGAAACUGAAUCUGUGUUACAGGAUGCGUUUGCACAGUGCAUUGGAGGACUUUUGAGUGUUACUGUUCAGGAGCUACAAGUAGGAAUCGAGUGUAUACACCAAGAUCUCUGUCUUGUCUCAAUUAAGGCAGGAAGUUACCGAAGCCAUAUGAUGGCCACUGGACGCGAAGGAUUUAUAGAUGUUGGAGACUUGUAUGCUGAUGAAGAGAGGGAUUUUCUAGUUUCAGUUAAUGUAGCAGCUACAUCUGCCAAUGAAACAUCAUUGAUUAAAGUCAAAUGCUUUUACAAGGAUCCCUUCACUCAGGAAACGAUGACACUGGAAAGUGAAGAAGUAAAGAUUGAGAGGCCUGAAACAGACGUAGGGGUCGAAAUGUCACUUGAAGUGGAUAGACAGCGCAACAGGCUCCAAGCAGCUGAGGCGAUGGCCGAGGCACGCAUUGCAGCUGAACAAGGGAAUCUAACCGAUGCAGUAUCAGUCCUUGAAAACUGUAGAAAGAUGCUCUCAGGGACUGUUUCGGCCAAAUCUCAUGAUCGUCUUUGUGUUGCAUUGGAUGCUGAACUCAAGGAAAUGCAAGAGAGGAUGGUGAGUAGGCAUGUUACUUUGAGUGAUCAUCUAUAAUUUUUUUUUUAUUAUUGACUUUUUAAAAAACUAAUAUUAAAUAAAUUGUGGAUGUCGUAUUGAUUGAGUAUAAAUUUUUGCACUAACUGUUAUAUUUUAAAAUAAAUCAUAUUAAAAUAAAAAAAGAAGGAAUCACUUCUUAUUUUACAAUUAUUAAGAAAAUCCCACAAUGCCUCGAGUUUGGCUCCUUUCCAUUACAUGAGAGACCGAUACAUAGUUUAAAUCAUUAUACGAGUAAAAGUAAAUUUUCAAUAAUUUAGAUUUUAAUUUAUUUUUGAAUUAAAUCCAUGUCUCACAAUCAUCCAUAAUGAUGUAGUGGAAUUGAUCCAAUCCCUUUCCUCAUCUUAUAUAGUCCGGGGUGGAAGGUGUUAUUGAAGGUUUCCAAUAAAUAACUUGGUCAUCAAUAUAUUAAUGGGAAUAGAGAGAGAUUUAAAUAAUGAGUGUAUUUGCUUUCCAUUUUGGGUAAGGGGUAAGGAAAAAUCACACAAUCCAACUCAAUCAAAUAUCUUGUUACCUCAUGUAAAAUGUAAAACAAUCAAUUAAACCACUAACUUUUUUCCUAAAAAAAAGUAGUGAUAGAGUACUAAGAUGUGAAAUACACAUAUUCAGUGUUUAUUUGCUAUAAUGGAGAAUUAUAUAAUGAACUUUAAAAGUUAGUUAGUGACAAAAUUAUAAAAAGUCAUAAACAUUUAUAUUUUAAUUUAAAUUAUUCAAUAACAAAUUUCAUUUUUUAAAAGAUCUAAUAAUAAAAUACAUUUUUUAAUUCAAACAUUGAACAAACUCUCUCACUUGAACAUUGCAUGAUUUUUAAAUGAAAAACUAAUGACAUUUGGAUGAAAUUUGUUGCAAGUAUUAACUUUGAUACUUGAUGUCAACUAAUCCUAACUCUAAAUAAUAUUUGACCUUUUAUGGCCCAAACCAGGUAAAGUAACAAAAAUAUGACAUCUAAAUUUAUGAUUCAUGUUUUUCUUAAAUUGAAAUAGGAGAGUACAGGGUAUACCCCAACAUUUUAUGGGCAAUAGUAUCUAAAAAAGACUUAUGAGUAAGGGCGAUAAAGGAAUGAAGACAUAAUGAUAUGAUACAAGUAAAGAGGAUAAUAAAGCACCUAACUUUUUUUCCAUUCAACCAAAACGUGCUUUUCUUUUUAUUAAUGCCUUUUACCCACUCUCUAGUCUUUUUAACACACUAAAAUGAAAAUAACUCAAACAGGAAAAUGAAGUUAACAAAGGUCAAAAUCCUUAGCUCUCAAACCAGACAUAGCAUAUAUUACCCUCACCCCAAUUAGUCCUUAGCCACCAACACCAAACAUCAACAUUUCCAACACCGAUAAGGAUAUGCUGUCAUCAAACCUGUUCCUAAUCAAUCACAAUGAAAUAAAAAUUGAUAAAGUCAUAAAUAUUUAAUUUUUUUAACUAACAUAUCAUAAUAUAAUUGGUUUUUGACAGAGUUUGAGACAUGCUUUGAGACAGCAAACCUUAUCUAUCCAACACUGCAUUAGAAUUCAGCGAUUAAUGAAUAUAGUUUCAUUCUACGACCAAAGUUCCCUUAUGUUUUGUCAUUCACAUCUUCUCUCUAAAGUCUAAACUCAACUAUCAUAAUUAAGAACCCCCUCUCCUUCAUUCAAUGAAGAAUCCUCUCACCUCGCUUUUCGUGCUCCAUUUCCACUUUUCAUAAAACCCCAUUUCCUAAUUCUCUCUCUCCAAGCCCAAGCACAACAAAGUUCGAAACUUUUCACCAUUUGAGAUCUGGGUUUGGAUUCAUUUUCCGUGUUGCAGCAC